AAGUUUUUCGGUGUGGGAUGAGCUCGCGGCCUAUCAGCUUGUUGGUGAGGUAAUGGCUCACCAAGGCGACGACGGGUAGCCGGCCUGAGAGGGUGACCGGCCACACUGGGACUGAGACACGGCCCAGACUCCUACGGGAGGCAGCAGUGGGGAAUAUUGGACAAUGGGCGAAAGCCUGAUCCAGCCAUGCCGCGUGUGUGAAGAAGGCCUUUUGGUUGUAAAGCACUUUAAGCGAGGAGGAGGCUACUGAGACUAAUACUCUUGGAUAGUGGACGUUACUCGCAGAAUAAGCACCGGCUAACUCUGUGCCAGCAGCCGCGGUAAUACAGAGGGUGCGAGCGUUGUCCGGAAUCACUGGGCGUAAAGGGCGCGUAGGCGGACAGUUAAGUUGGGGUGAAA
rnacentral:rRNA from 13 species